ACUGGGGCUGCGUUGGUGCUCGGACGGGUGAUCUGUUGCUCCCGUAGUCCUUAGUCACAAUCCGACAAAAUGGUCAUCUAUAGGGACAUCAUCGGUGCUUAUGACCACGGCUGAGGGACAUGUUGACAAGCGUGUUGUCCAGGUGAAGGUACAGCCGCCUCAAGACUUCGGAACGUGGACGUUGUCCUCAGCCGCAACCCAAAGGACACUCUGGGUGUCAAGACAUUGUGACCUGCGUCCGUCAAAGGCCAAAUGAAAGAGCUAAACCGGAGGGGGCCGGUCCCCGACGGAGUGGAGCAUCUCCUGAGAGAGAACUUCACAAAAUUCUCAGCAAGAGCAAACAGUCAGUGUUUCGCUGGUGAACCGUGGGAACUGUGCGUGUGCUGAUCCUCCUCAGCGCUUCAGGGAUGUCAGCGUCUCCUUCUUGCUUUACCACCAA